UACGAAGGGUGCUAGCGUUGUUCGGAAUCACUGGGCGUAAAGCGCGCGUAGGCGGCGUAACAAGUCAGAGGUGAAAUCCCCAGGCUCAACCUGGGAAUUGCCUUUGAAACUGUUAUGCUUGAGUGUCGGAGGGGAUAGCGGAAUUGCUAAUGUAGAGGUGAAAUUCGUAGAUAUUAGCAGGAACACCGGUGGCGAAGGCGGCUAUCUGGACGACAACUGACGCUGAGGCGCGAAAGCGCGGGGAUCAAACAGG
rnacentral:rRNA from 1 species